rnacentral:misc_RNA from 1 species
UGGUACAUUAAACACACAAAAACACACAUACAUAAUUAAGAACAUUAAAAGGAAAUGAAAAGAAAAGACUGAUUCUACGACCAUAUCCAUAUACCCGCAACCACCCUAGCAUAUGAAAUAAAUCUAAAUCAAACGAAAUAAAAAAUGAAAUAAAGAAAGGGUUCUUAAGGAUAUGCACCGUUAGUUGUUGGAAGAUCAGAC